AAAUUGAAGAGUUUGAUCAUGGCUCAGAUUGAACGCUGGCGGCAGGCCUAACACAUGCAAGUCGAGCGGAAACGAGUUAUCUGAACCUUCGGGGAACGAUAACGGCGUCGAGCGGCGGACGGGUGAGUAAUGCCUAGGAAAUUGCCCUGAUGUGGGGGAUAACCAUUGGAAACGAUGGCUAAUACCGCAUGAUGCCUACGGGCCAAAGAGGGGGACCUUCGGGCCUCUCGCGUCAGGAUAUGCCUAGGUGGGAUUAGCUAGUUGGUGAGGUAAGGGCUCACCAAGGCGACGAUCCCUAGCUGGUCUGAGAGGAUGAUCAGCCACACUGGAACUGAGACACGGUCCAGACUCCUACGGGAGGCAGCAGUGGGGAAUAUUGCACAAUGGGCGCAAGCCUGAUGCAGCCAUGCCGCGUGUGUGAAGAAGGCCUUCGGGUUGUAAAGCACUUUCAGUCGUGAGGAAGGUAGU
rnacentral:rRNA from 1 species